UCGGUGAGUGUUGUUAAUGAAUAUACAUGUUUAUCUUUGUGCUGCAAUUUAGAGAAUUUGGAAGAUUUGUUGAUCUUGGUAAAAUUUAUUAGCAUCUUUUAAGCGCACGUUUCAUUUGUGUAAUUGGAAAUUUUUUUUUCUAUAAAGAAGCACGAGGAGGAAAAUGACAUUAGACUCUCUCUUUCACACUAAUUUGUCAUUUAGACGUACUUUGUUAUUUUUAGGGGUGUGGUGUUUUUACGUCGUUCGCUUUGUGAUUAAUGGCAAAACGUAGUGUAAAUCAAUACGAGUAUGAGACCGGAUUUUUAUCCGGCGAAGGAAUUUUGUGUAAAAAUAAUCGAAAAUGGAAACCCUGCUUUCCAUCGUGGCGGUAGUAACUAACUAUCAGGUGAACGAGGUCAUACUUGUAUGUUUAUAUACUUUCAUAUUGCAACAUGCAUUAUUUUAAUAUAUUUUUUUUAAACACAAAACAUGCUGUGGUCGCCUAUAAAUGUAACAACAGUUGGCCGUAAUCCACUAGUGUAUUCUAUCGAAAUGUUUCUAAAUAUUAUAUAUAAAUAAAUAAAUACACAAUCCAAUUCAGAUGAAUUUAUUACGAACAAUUGCAAUUUUUGUAACACUGCAACACCUGCAAGAGAUUUGCAUAUGAGUUUAGACUAAAUAUAAUUUUAUAUUUAACUAACCACGAA